rnacentral:rRNA from 1 species
GUGCUUGCACCAUAGAGACCGGCGCACGGGUGCGUAACGCGUAUGCAAUCUGCCUUGUACAGGGGAAUAGCCCAGGGAAACUUGGAUUAAUGCCCCAUGGUAUUAUUUUGUAGCAUUACAUUAUAAUUAAAGAUUUAUCGGUACAAGAUGAGCAUGCGUCCCAUUAGUUAGUCGGUAAGGUAACGGCUUACCAAGACAGCGAUGGGUAGGGGCCCUGAGAGGGGGAUCCCCCACACUGGUACUGAGACACGGACCAGACUCCUACGGGAGGCAGCAGUGAGGAAUAUUGGACAAUGGGCGAAAGCCUGAUCCAGCCAUGCCGCGUGCAGGAAGACGGCCCUAUGGGUUGUAAACUGCUUUUGUACGGGAAGAAACACCCCCACGUGUGGGGGCUUGACGGUACCGUAAGAAUAAGCAUCGGCUAACUCCGUGCCAGCAGCCGCGGUAAUACGGAGGAUGCAAGCGUUAUCCGGAAUCAUUGGGUUUAAAGGGUCCGUAGGCGGGCAAUUAAGUCAGAGGUGAAAGUCUGCGGCUCAACCGUAGAACUGCCUUUGAAACUGGUUGUCUUGAAUCGUUGUGAAGUGGUUAGAAUGAGCAGUGUAGCGGUGAAAUGCUUAGAGAUUGCUCAGAAUACCGAUUGCGAAGGCAGAUCACUAACAACGUAUUGACGCUGAGGGACGAAAGCGUGGGGAGCGAACAGGAUUAGAUACCCUGGUAGUCCACGC